AGAGUUUGAUCAUGGCUCAGAACGAACGCUGGCGGCGUGCUUAACACAUGCAAGUCGAGUGCGCGUCCGUAGCAAUACGGAUGGCGCACGGCGCACGGGUGCGUAACACGUGGGUAACCUGCCCUUUGGUGGGGAAUAACCCCGGGAAACCGGGGCUAAUUCCGCAUAAGAUCCGCAAGGAUGAAAGCCGCAAGGCGCCGAUGGAGGGGCCCGCGCACGAUUAGCUAGUUGGUAGGGUAACGGCCUACCAAGGCGAUGAUCGUUAGCUGGUCUGAGAGGAUGGCCAGCCACACUGGAACUGAGACACGGUCCAGACUCCUACGGGAGGCAGCAGUGGGGAAUCUUGCACAAUGGGCGAAAGCCUGAUGCAGCGACGCCGCGUGGGGGAUGAAGCUUCUCGGAGUGUAAACCCCUUUCGACCCGGACGAAUACCUCGCAAGAGGGGUGACGGUACGGGUAUAAGAAGCCCCGGCUAACUACGUGCCAGCAGCCGCGGUAAUACGUAGGGGGCCAGCGUUGUUCGGAAUUACUGGGUGUAAAGGGUUCGUAGGCGGUGAGGCAAGUUGGGAGUGAAAUCUCUGGGCUUAACUCAGAGGCUGCUUUCAAAACUGCUUUGCUUUGAGUGUGGGAGAGGCGCGUGGAAUUGCAGGUGUAGCGGUGAAAUGCGUAGAUAUCUGCAGGAACACCCGUGGCGAAAGCGGCGCGCUGGACCAUAACUGACGCUGAGGAACGAAAGCUAGGGGAGCAAACAGGAUUAGAUACCCCCGUAGUCC
rnacentral:rRNA from 1 species